rnacentral:lncRNA from 1 species
CCUAACACAUUUAUAAAUUGCGUGAGUCAAAGUUUCUAACAUUUAAGAACAAACUUUAAAUUGGGUGAUAAUUUAUAUACUUUAUACAAAACAAAUCAAGAUACCAUGCAUAAAUCUAUCAAAUCCAAAAAUAUUUUGUCUUUGUUUAGUGAAACCGUACGAUGCAAAUUUCAUGUAGCUCAUGGGAUUAUAUGAAGGUUGUCGUGCCCCAUUUUCGAAUUUAUUAGAGUCGGCACUACAUUUUUUUCAGUCAAAAAAUGUAGAAAAAUCUUUUGGCCCAAUCACAUUGGGCCUUGGACUUUGAUAACCAGGUUCGGGAGUCCAUUACACCAUAGGGAAGGUAUUAGCACCCUAGUUGCCCGUUUGAACGGUACCCUAUUAUAUUGCAUGAAUUAUUAAUUGUGUUAUUAUUAUUUUAUUUAAUUGUGUGAUUGAUUAAUUAUUUAUUAUGAAGUAAAAUUGUUUUUAUUAUUGUGGCUGACAAGAAUGACCCCGGUGCUACGUAUCCCUAUUAAGGGAAUCAAGGCUUACGUAGUUCUUUAGGUAGAAAAAGUUUAUUUGGUUGGGUUAAUUUUAUUUAUUAAAAAUAGUAAAGUUUAAAUUCUUUUUUUUUUGAAAAAAAAAACAUGAGCGAAGCAUAGCCCUUACGUCCAAUACCACAUCUCAUAUUAAAACUUGGUUAAGAAAUUCGAAUUUUUGUUUUUUUAUUUAAAAAGUAAAAUCAUAAGGAAGUGAAGUGUAGUCCUUACGUCCGACACUGCAUCAUACCUUACAAUCUGAGUUAAAUAUUAUUUCAUUUUUUUGUUGACUCAUGUAUGCUUCUUGUUUUUUGUUUUUUUAAUAUGUUUUAAAUUGAUAUAUAAUGAGAAACUAAUUAAUUACAUAUUUUGCUUCAAAACUAAAUAUUUAUUAACAAAAUGUUGUAGUAUGUAUACAAAGAGUGAAUUGUUUAUGCAUUUACCUUUUUGAUGUAGUUACAAUCGUGAUAAUCAUUAUUACUAAUGCAAUUAUUGAUAACAAAAAUAAAACAACUAUACAAGAAAUGAAUGAAAAUUACAUACCUCCCAUAGCGAAUCCAACAACAAUGAAAUGCUGCAACACGAAAGAGGUGCAAAAAAGGCUAACCAAUGCAAAAAGACAUAUAGUGGAGGUAGGGACUUUGUGUAGCACAGACUCAGAGACAUCGCUUUGGACAUGUAUAUGAAGCUUCUCUACAAUGUAUACUAAUGCAAUUAUAAUUUCUCUUGAGUUUCUUUGUAUUUUUUUCUUAUUUUUGGGCGGUGUUCUUGUGUAUGAGAGAUCUUGAAUUAUUGUGGAUUUCUUGGUUUUUUGUUGGAUGAAUAUGCGUGAAAGAUAAAAUGUCUAGAGAAGAGAGAAAGGAUUGAAAAACAAAUUGUUUUUGAUUGAGAGCAUUGUUGUGAUGUAGUAGAUUAUACCUUUUGGAUGGUUCUGGUUAUCUUUUGGUUGAGGAUUCUUGGGAAUAGGUGAUGAAUGAAAGAUUUUUUUAGAUGAAUUUGAUGGAGGAGUGUUUUAGAUGAAUGAUUUUUUAGAGGAUGAU